AAUGCAGCAAUUUGUAAGUCGCUCUGGAUAAGAGCGUCUGCUAAAUUCCUUCCC
rfam:Salmo salar isolate Sally breed double haploid chromosome ssa02, whole genome shotgun sequence.